AUUGAACGCUGGCGGAAGGCCUAACACAUGCAAGUAGAGUGGAGCGGCGGACGGGUGAGUAAUGCCUAGGAAUCUGCCUGGUAGUGGGGGAUAACGUCCGGAAACGGGCGCUAAUACCGCAUACUAUCAGAUGAGCCUAGGUCGGAAUAGCUAGUUGGUGGGGGAAAGGUUUACCAAGGCGACGAUCCGUAACUGGUAUGAGAGGAUGAUCAGUCACACUGGAACUGAGACACGUUCCAGACUCCUACGGGAGGCAGCAGGGGGGAAUAGUGGACAAUGGGCGAAAGCCUGAUCCAGCCAUGCCGCGUGUGUGAAGAAGGUCUUCGGAUUUGAAAGCACUUUAAGUUGGGAGGCGUUACCAACAGAAUAAGCACCGGCUAACUUCGUGCCAGCAUCCGCGGUAAUAC
rnacentral:rRNA from 1 species